GACGAACGCUGGCGGCGUGCUUAACACAUGCAAGUCGAACGAAGAGCGAUGGAAGCUUGCUUCUAUCAAUCUUAGUGGCGAACGGGUGAGUAACGCGUAAUCAACCUGCCCUUCAGAGGGGGACAACAGUUGGAAACGACUGCUAAUACCGCAUACGAUCUAAUCUCGGCAUCGAGGAUAGAUGAAAGGUGGCCUCUACAUGUAAGCUAUCACUGAAGGAGGGGAUUGCGUCUGAUUAGCUAGCUGGAGGGGUAACGGCCCACCAAGGCGAUGAUCAGUAGCCGGUCUGAGAGGAUGAACGGCCACAUUGGGACUGAGACACGGCCCAGACUCCUACGGGAGGCAGCAGUGGGGAAUCUUCCGCAAUGGACGAAAGUCUGACGGAGCAACGCCGCGUGAGUGAUGACGGCCUUCGGGUUGUAAAGCUCUGUUAAUCGGGACGAAAGGCCUUCUUGCGAAUAGGGAGAAGGAUUGACGGUACCGGAAGAGAAAGCCACGGCUAACUACGUG
rnacentral:rRNA from 1 species